UGCUAUCAUAACAACUACAACAAUUUGCAUUGGAGCAGCCAAAGAAAGGCAAAUGAUGGAUCACCAGAGCACAGUAAAAGCACUGUAGUAAUUAGCUCCUUCCAUGAAAAAUGUGCAAUUCCAGGAUCAACCUAGAAGCAACAAAUGGAAACAUCAGACAGAUGGGAAUUAGAGGAACCCAAAGAAACAAUAAGACAAUUAUUGAUAAGCAGUAAAAUUAGGAGACCUGAACCUUCAUAGAGUCCUCUAGAAGCCUGAGCAAUAACUGAGAAGCUCCAAGCCAUUCCUGGUUUGAGGUGAAGAAAAUGUGUUUCCAGACUUUAAGUCCCAUGUGUGUGUCUUUGGGCAGAUCCUGCAGAAGGAGGUGAAGAUGGACUAAAAGUUAUUUUAAUAGAGGAAAGUAAUCUUCCAUGCAC